rnacentral:rRNA from 1 species
UACAGAGGCCCCAAGCGUUGUUCGGAUUCACUGGGCGUAAAGGGUGCGUAGGUGGUUGUGCAAGUCUGAUGUGAAAUCUCCGGGCUUAACCCGGAAAUGGCAUUGGAAACUGCAUGGCUAGAGGGUUGGAGGGGGGACUGGAAUACUUGGUGUAGCAGUGAAAUGCGUAGAUAUCAAGUGGAACACCAGUGGCGAAGGCGAGUCCCUGGACAACACCUGACACUGAGGCACGAAAGCUAGGGGAGCAAACGGG